rnacentral:rRNA from 1 species
UACAGAGGGUGCAAGCGUUAAUCGGAAUUACUGGGCGUAAAGCGUGCGCAGGCGGUUUGCUAAGACAGGUGUGAAAUCCCCGGGCUUAACCUGGGAACUGCGCUUGUUACUGGCAAGCUAGAGUGUGGCAGAGGGGGGUGGAAUUCCACGUGUAGCAGUGAAAUGCGUAGAGAUGUGGAGGAACACCGAUGGCGAAGGCAGCCCCCUGGGCUAACACUGACGCUCAUGCACGAAAGCGUGGGGAGCAAAC